UACGUAGGGAGCGAGCGUUGUCCGGAAUUAUUGGGCGUAAAGAGCUCGUAGGUGGUUUGUCGCGUUGUUCGUGAAAACUCACAGCUUAACUGUGGGCGUGCGGGCGAUACGGGCAGACUGGAGUACUGCAGGGGAGGACUGGAAUUCCUGGUGUAGCGGUGGAAUGCGCAGAUAUCAGGAGGAACACCAAUGGCGAAGGCAGCACUCUGGGACGUGACUGACGCUGAGACGCGAAAGCGUGGGGAGCAAACAGG
rnacentral:rRNA from 1 species